AGAGUUUGAUCAUGGCUCAGGAUGAACGCUAGCGGCAGGCUUAACACAUGCAAGUCGAGGGGUAGAGGAAGCUUGCUUCCUUGAGACCGGCGCACGGGUGCGUAACGCGUAUGCAAUCUACCUUAUACAGGGGGAUAGCCCAGAGAAAUUUGGAUUAAUACCCCAUAGUAUAAUUGAAUGGCAUCAUUUAAUUAUUAAAGUUCCAACGGUAUAAGAUGAGCAUGCGUCCCAUUAGCUAGUUGGUGUGGUAACGGCACACCAAGGCGACGAUGGGUAGGGGUCCUGAGAGGGAGAUCCCCCACACUGGUACUGAGACACGGACCAGACUCCUACGGGAGGCAGCAGUGAGGAAUAUUGGUCAAUGGGCGCAAGCCUGAACCAGCCAUGCCGCGUGCAGGAUGACGGUCCUAUGGAUUGUAAACUGCUUUUGUACAGGAAGAAACACUCCCUCGUGAGGGAGCUUGACGGUACUGUAAGAAUAAGGAUCGGCUAACUCCGUG
rnacentral:rRNA from 1 species